rnacentral:rRNA from 1 species
UACGUAGGGUGCAAGCGUUGUCCGGAAUUAUUGGGCGUAAAGAGCUCGUAGGCGGUCUGUUGCGUCGGCUGUGAAAACCCGGGGCUCAACUCCGGGCCUGCAGCCGAUACGGGCAGACUAGAGUUCGGCAGGGGAGACUGGAAUUCCUGGUGUAGCGGUGAAAUGCGCAGAUAUCAGGAGGAACACCGAUGGCGAAGGCAGGUCUCUGGGCCGAUACUGACGCUGAGGAGCGAAAGCGUGGGGAGCACAGG